GGCUCCGUAGCUUGGAGGAAAGAAGCGCCCGUCCAACGAAUUGGGAGUCGUGGGUUCGAUUCCCACCGGAGCUC
rnacentral:tRNA from 1 species